ACAGGGCACCAGUUAGCUGGGGCUGAAAAACAGCUGCUCCCUUCAAGGGGGCUGCCUGGACCCCGGAGGACCCCACAGAGAGGGGCUGGCCCUCCCCCUGCCUCCUCAUGGAUUCUCUACCUUCCCCAUGCCUCAAUUUUCCAGACAAUAGAAUGGAAAAGACCAAGGUCACGUCCUGCACCUGGGAAGAAAGAAACUGAUGCUCACGGAAGCUAACUUCUCCAAGGCCACACAGCCAAGGUUUGAAUCCAGACGGUCUGGCUCCAGAACCCACACACUUGACCGCUCCACCGUACAGUCCUCAGCUGAGAGGAGACACUGGAAUUUAGAGCCGCAUUUUACACCUGAAGAAACGAAGCCUAGGAAGAGUGAUUUCUGCCUUCUACCUGCUUCAUCCGUUAAGCCUUCCCAGCCCUCUUCAGCCCAGAAUGGCC